CCUACGGGUGGCAGCAGUGAGGAAUAUUGGUCAAUGGGCGCGAGCCUGAACCAGCCAAGUCGCGUGAGGGAUGACGGUCCUACGGAUUGUAAACCUCUUUUGUCUGGGAGCAAGCGUGCGUUCGUGAACGCGCGUCGAGAGUACCCGGAGAAAAAGCAUCGGCUAACUCCGUGCCAGCAGCCGCGGUAAUACGGAGGAUGCGAGCGUUAGCGGGAUUUAUUGGGUUUAAAGGGUGCGUAGGCGGAAUGCCAAGUCAGCGGUAAAAAGGCGGGGCGCAACGCCGUCGAGCCGUUGAAACUGGGGUUCGUGAGUGGACGAGAAGUAUGCGGAAUGCGUGGGGUAGCGGUGAAAUGCAUAGAUAUCACGCAGAACUCCGAUUGCGAAGGCAGCAUACCGGCGCCCAACUGACGCUGAGGCACGAAAGCGUGGGUAUCGAACAGGAUUAGAUACCCUUGUAGUC
rnacentral:rRNA from 1 species